rnacentral:rRNA from 1 species
GAACGCUGGCGGCGUGCCUAAUACAUGCAAGUCGAGCGAACAGACGAGGAGCUUGCUCCUCUGACGUUAGCGGCGGACGGGUGAGUAACACGUGGAUAACCUACCUAUAAGACUGGGAUAACUUCGGGAAACCGGAGCUAAUACCGGAUAAUAUAUUGAACCGCAUGGUUCAAUAGUGAAAGACGGUUUUGCUGUCACUUAUAGAUGGAUCCGCGCCGCAUUAGCUAGUUGGUAAGGUAACGGCUUACCAAGGCGACGAUGCGUAGCCGACCUGAGAGGGUGAUCGGCCACACUGGAACUGAGACACGGUCCAGACUCCUACGGGAGGCAGCAGUAGGGAAUCUUCCGCAAUGGGCGAAAGCCUGACGGAGCAACGCCGCGUGAGUGAUGAAGGUCUUCGGAUCGUAAAACUCUGUUAUUAGGGAAGAACAAAUGUGUAAGUAACUAUGCACGUCUUGACGGUACCUAAUCAGAAAGCCACGGCUAACUACGUG